rnacentral:misc_RNA from 1 species
AAAGUCGUAACAAGGUUUCCGUAGGUGAACCUGCGGAAGGAUCAUUAACACGUAUCCAACGUUAAACCCCCCCGUGAACCUUUAUUGUGCUCCCACGCCGCGUCGAACCCCCAGCAAUCCCUGGUAAAUCAUCGCCGAACAGUUUUGAUUCAGGGACCUCUGGAAGUCGCGUGACGAGUGCGAAGCAAUUGGCCUGGCAUUCCUCUGCUUGUUGGUGUCUGAAAGUGUCACUGGCUCUGUACGAAUGGCGCAGUCACGAUCGCUAGAGGCCGACACGGCCGGCGACCAGGUCAGUGGGAUCCGUCCCCCCUUAUCACCUUUGCAUGAAAACGGGGAUGCGCUUAAUUGUGCUCCCACCAAACUUGAACAACUGUUAACAAUGGAUAUCUUGGUUCUC